rnacentral:misc_RNA from 1 species
GAUGAAGAACGUAGCGAAAUGCGAUAAGUAAUGUGAAUUACAGAAUUCAGUGAAUCAUCGAAUCUUUGAACGCACAUUGCGCCCCCUGGUAUUCCGGGGGGCAUGCCUGUCCGAGCGUCAUUACAACCCUCAAGCUCAGCUUGGUGUUGGGCCCCGCCGCCCCGGCGGGCCCUAAAGUCAGUGGCGGUGCCGUCCGGCUCCGAGCGUAGUAAUUCUUCUCGCUCUGGAGGUCCGGUCGUGUGCUCGCCAGCAACCCCCAAUUUUUUUCAGGUUGACCUCGGAUCAGGUAGGGAUACCCGCUGAACUUAAGCAUAUCAAUAAGCGGAGGA